AUUGAACGCUGGCGGAAUGCUUUACACAUGCAAGUCGAACGGCAGCACGGGGCAACCUGGUGGCGAGUGGCGAACGGGUGAGUAAUACAUCGGAACGUGCCCAAUCGUGGGGGAUAACGUAGCGAAAGUUACGCUAAUACCGCAUACGAUCUACGGAUGAAAGCGGGGGAUCGCAAGACCUCGCGCGAAUGGAGCGGCCGAUGUCAGAUUAGGUAGUUGGUGGGGUAAAGGCUCACCAAGCCGACGAUCUGUAGCUGGUCUGAGAGGACGACCAGCCAUACUGGGACUGAGACACGGCCCAGACUCCUACGGGAGGCAGCAGUGGGGAAUUUUGGACAAUGGGCGCAAGCCUGAUCCAGCCAUUCCGCGUGCAGGAUG
rnacentral:rRNA from 1 species